rnacentral:sRNA from 1 species
UGUCCCUUUGGCCUGGUUAAUGUAACUGAGUGAAUGGGAUUGAUUUUACACAGUUUGUUCCCUUUGGCC